GACACAUCGCUCGGUACUCACACUCCACUCUCAGUGGAGAUAGCCUUUGGCAAGUCUUCAGUAGCAUCGACCAUCGCCUCCACUCCCUGCCCGAGUCCUGGCCGCCGGCUCCCAGGGCCACCCCCUCACCGGCUUCCCCACGACCGGCGCAAGGAGAUCCCCCCGCCCCUGCGUCCCGCCGCUGCAGCGAGUUCUACCUCUCUCAUGUCUCCUUACCGCUACAGCAAGAACCAGACCUUCCCCUGCCUCCCUACCGCUGCAGCGAGUUCUGUUCAGCAAACAUCACGCCCGCAACCCGGUUGAUGGAUCCACAACACCGGAAUCCUCCUCCUGCGCGAAAAACCUAUGAACCGGAGUAAGUGCAGACGGACGCUGGUGUGCUCCGACGGGCAGUGUUGCAACCAUCCAGCAAUGGAUGGUCGACGUCCCUCCCCACCUCGCUCGCCGUGGCCUAUCGGAGAAUCCCGCCCGGCAAAUCGCUCGUAUCCUACUGCUUCCGCGCCUCUCCAACAGGUCUGCAUCUCUACAAGAACUCCCUGAAGGUGCUGAUGAUGGAGUUGUAAACUUUUUCGCCGAUGCUGACAUACUUGCAUAUAUCCCGACUGGCCAAAUGACCUCGGUGAGAAACCUAUGGAGGUUUGUUUCAUAGUGGAUGUAUGCUGCGGAGUCUGCUAAGGCUUCAGGGAAUGAUAAUUUCAGGUUAAUUCUAACUUGGCUAAGCUCCACCUUUUUUAUAAGGAACGGGUCCUCACCCAGCCACACACAAUGGAGCUGGCAGCCUGAGCUCUGCAACAUCAGGAAUGUCCAACUGCAAAAUGAGCUUCUGGGUUCUCAUCAUGGACAACCGAGCGUGCAAUCUCAUGCAGCUGGUGCAAGUAUUUUUCUUGAAGUAAUGUGAGUUCUCCCUCUAGAGAAAAUGGUAAUUGUUCCAUCAGUGUCUUCUGUCUACCAUGAGUAUGCAAUGAAAAACCAAAAUACCAGUGUUUAUCUUCAGGGAGGAGAGGCUAAAUAUCUGCACAUGCAACAGAAAUUACAAAAUUAUAUUAGAAGUUCUUGAAUAAAUAGGUUCUGCCUCUCACAAAAAGUUAUACUGUGAGGAGAACCAAAAUUUGAUCAAGCUAUAAGUACUACUUGGAAAAAGAAGGUUUCUAUAGUCAGUCAAAAAUAUCCAUGGACUACAAUGAUAAACUUGUAUGGGAACCUGGACAUCACACAAUUAUGGAAACAUGAACUAAAUUCAUUUUAUUCUGAAGCUUGUGCGCUGCUAUGCUGCUUUGCUCUUGCCUCCCUGACAACUCAUGGUCCUUAGUUUCAUCCUAUUUUCUGAAAUGUCUACUGGACUGCUUUAUUUAUAUUAUGAAAUUCUCCUACCUCCUAACGAAUUUAAAGAAACACAUGCACGUAAUGUAUGCAGCAAGGAGUAUUUACAUAGCCUAUUUUGUUGCAUGCAAUGUUAAGGACCAUGACCAUGCACACAAAAUUGUUGAUCUGGUACUAUCCUGUUACAGCUUCGAAAGUAGACAUCACCUACUUCCUUAAUACUUCGUUAUACCUGAAAAGUAUCUUAUUUAUCAUUGUUAUCCCUGGACACUAAACCAAUUAGUCAGGGAAGAGAAGUGUUAGGACGAUUAUGCUACUUUUCUAAGCUGUAGCUACUGGAUUCAAGCGUUUACAUAGCUGAACUCAUGUUAUAGAGGUACCAAGAAUGCAUUAGAGGACUCACAUUUUUGUCAGCUAGGAUGGCGUGGUAAAUAAGAUCUCCCAUCCGAGUCACUUUAAUUCGCGCGGUCACAAUUUUCGCGAUCGUCACCCAACCAUGGCUUCAACAAAUGUGAAACUAACAUGCCUGAGAAAUGAGAAGAACACAUGUAUCAGUCAAACUAACAAAUGGAAUCUUUGAUGAGUAUAGUGUAGAAAGAAGAAGUUACAAGUGGGGAUUCCAGGCGAAGCGAGAGUACGGCCUUGGUGCUAUUAUUCUCUUCGAGCAGGCGCAUCCGAGGCUAAGUUGUACUGCCAUGGUUAGUCCGUAAGGUUGAGAUUGCUUGCAUCAAUAUUCUGCUCAAUUCUGGCCCGAGCUUUUGUACAUCAAAUAUUCUUUCUAGGCGUAAUAUUCUGCCAUUAUCCUGCUUUUGUACAUCAAAUAUUCUACCUGGGCGCAAUUCACGUCCUUAUUAACCUUGAUUCCAUGUUUCUUCA